GCGCGAAAACUUCGCACUGUGCGAAAGCACGACGAGGGAAUCCCAAGUGCUGGCUCGUAAGAGUCAGCUGUUUUUCUGUCUAAAAAGCAGGGAGAGUAAGAGCUGGGUAAGACGGGUGCCAGCCGCCGCGGUAAUACCUGCAGCUCAAGUGGUGGCCGCUAUUAUUGGGCCUAAAACGUCCGUAGCCGGUUCUAUAAAUGCCUGGGUAAAUCGUACGGCUUAACCGUACGAAUUCCGGGUAGACUGUUCAACUUGGGACCGGGAGAGGCUAGAGGUACUCCUGGGGUAGAGGUGAAAUUCUGUAAUCCUAGGGGGACCACCAGUGGCGAAGGCGUCUAGCUAGAACGGGUCUGACGGUGAGGGACGAAGCCCUGGGGAGCAAACGGGAUUAGAUACCCCGGUAGUCCCAGCUGUAAACGAUGCGCGUUAGGUGUGUCAGUGACCACGUGUCACUGAUGUGCCGAAGGGAACCGUGAAACGCGCCGCCUGGGGAUACGGUCGCAAGGCUGAAACUUAAGGAAUUGGCGGGGGA
rnacentral:rRNA from 1 species